rnacentral:lncRNA from 10 species
GAUUCUUCCCAAUUCUACCGCCACCAUUCUGGUUCAAGCUACCUGAUGUCACCACCGUUCAAUGCAGAAAUGAUGGGCAAUCACCAAAGCUCAACUUACUAAAGCAAUUAUACUGGCUAACUUAUCCAGUAGAGACGGGGUUUCACCAUGUUAGCCAGGAUGGUCUCGAUCUUCUGACCUCGUGAUCCGUCCGCCUCAGCCUUCCAAAGUUCUGGGAUUACAGACGUGAGCCACCGCGCCCGGCCAAAAGAUCCAUAAACUUUGAGUCACCAGAUAGAGCUAACAUUUACCACAGAGAUGUAACUCUCACGGCAACCACAAGUUAACUGGUUACUGGUCUCUAUUACUGGAAAAUCAUCUUCGGUUUUAAUUGAAGUUUCAGUUUUUUCUGACACAAAUACAUAAUCUAUGCUGUGGUGCUCCUCAUAAUGACUCAGAAAUGCUUCUUCCACAUUAAAGAUAAGAUCACAAAGCCCACAGAAGUAUUUAAUCUUUAUCUCAUUGUCAUGCUCAUCUUGGCAAUGUCGGUACAAUGUUUCUAUCUUAUGAAAAGGCUUUCUGCAGUGAGCACAGCUGUAUCUAUGAAACUUGUGGCUUGCCAAAGACAUGCAGUGCUGUUUUACAUAUUCCUGGGAAUCAAACAUAUCUUCACAAAUCCGGCAUUGCCAUUUACCCCUCGGAGAACUAUUUGCCGGGGAAUGAUCAAUAACAGUAAUAGCUGAUGAAGGCUUGUUAGC